CAAAUAAUAAGUCAAUGAUAACAUUGUAACCUUAUAGUUUUAAUAUAAAAAAAUAAAUAAAAAUUAUUUAAAAAGGAAAAUAAAAAAUCCAAUCUCCUUCUUCAAUCUCCUUACCCCAAAAUCAAAACCACCUCAACCCAAUUGUUGGCCAUCGACACCACUGCGGUUGCCUCUCUCUGUCCACCUCCUCCAAAUGACCGCCAUAACACUCCUCCAACCCACCAAUAUGACCCCCCAUUGUCCACACCUCAGUCACACCUGGCGUCGACUCCUCCUUCAUCGACCUGUUAUAAACAACCAUCGGCAACAUCCCAGCCCACUCUUUGCCUGAAAAUCAAAAUUCUCGGACUACAUCAGAUAUGCUGAAACUUCCCAUCGACAACCACAGGCAUAGACAACAAAUCAAUAUUCUCCGACGUUGGUUUUUCAAAAUGGGGCCAUGGCUUCUGUUCCUUGCCUUUGGAAACUGGAGAUAACAUUGACAUUUCUGUUUGAAAAUAUGGAUCAUUGGAGCGGAGGUGGGAGUGGAAAAAGUCCACCUGACUCGUUGUUGACUCAGUGUUGGAUAUUGAUAUGUGGUUGUUGCUACUUGUCAUAAUUUUCUUGUUGUGAUUACUCAGUUCUCCAUUCUGUGAACUAUUACUCUGUUCUUUGAAAUUGAAGAAGAUAUGAAUUGAAAGAUGUGAAGUGAGAAUGAGAAGAAGAAAUUACAUAGAAGAAGGGUCGUAUAAAUUCUCCGACAACUAGGUCGAGGUGGUUUUGAUUUUGGGGUAAAGGGAUUGGAAAGAUUGAAGAGAAGAUGGGAUUUUUUAUUUUCCUAUUUAAAUAAAAUUUAUUUAUUUUUUAUAUUAAAUUUAUAAAGUUAAAAUUUUAUCCUUGUCUUUUCUUGGUCAAAGUUAUUAGAUUUUUAAUUUUUAAAGUCAAAUAACGGUUUUUGGGGUCAAAUUAACGAAAAUCGUCAAUCUGGACUUGAACUGUAAAUUUUGUAAAGAUUU
rnacentral:lncRNA from 1 species